rnacentral:rRNA from 1 species
GAUGAACGCUGGCGGCGUGCUUAACACAUGCAAGUCGAGCGAGAAGUUUUGAAAAGAUUCUUCGGAUGAAAUUUAAAAUGGAAAGCGGCGGACGGGUGAGUAACGCGUAGGCAACCUGCCCCAUACAAAGGGAUAGCAUUUGGAAACGAAUAUUAAUACCUUAUGAAACUUAACUAGUGCAUGCUAGGUAGGUCAAAGAUUUAUCGGUAUGGGAUGGGCCUGCGUCUGAUUAGCUAGUUGGUGAGGUAACGGCUCACCAAGGCGACGAUCAGUAGCCGACCUGAGAGGGUGAACGGCCACCUUGGAACUGAGACACGGUCCAAACCCCUACGGGAGGCAGCAGUGGGGAAUAUUGCACAAUGGGGGAAACCCUGAUGCAGCAACGCCGCGUGAACGAUGAAGGCCUUUGGGUCGUAAAGUUCUGUUCUAGGUGAUGAAAACUGACAGUAACCUAGGAGAAAGCCCCGGCUAACUCCGUG